AAAACUCCCUUGACGGUACUUAAUGAAUAAGCCCCGGCUAAUUAUGUGCCAGCAGCCGCGGUAAUACAUAAGGGGCGAGCGUUAUCCGGAAUUAUUGGGCGUAAAGGGUGCGUAGGCGGUUUAAUAAGUCUAUAGUUUAAUUUCAGUGCUUAACGCUGUUGUGCUAUAGAAACUGUUUUACUAGAGUGAGUUAGAGGCAAGCGGAAUUCCAUGUGUAGCGGUAAAAUGCGUAAAUAUAUGGAGGAACACCAGAGGCGUAGGCGGCUUGCUGGGACUUUACUGACGCUGAGGCACGAAAGCGUGGGGAGCAAACAGGAUUAGAUACCCUGGUAGUCCACGCCGUAAACGAUGAGUACUAAGUGUCGGGUAAAACCGGUACUGAAGUUAACACAUUAAGUACUCCGCCUGAGUAGUACGUACGCAAGUAUGAAACUUAAAGGAAUUGACGGGACUCCGCACAAGCGGUGGAUCAUGUUGUUUAAUUCGAAGAUACACGAAAAACCUUACCAGGUCUUGACAUUUUCUUGCGAAGUUAUAGAAAUAUAAUGGAGGUUAUCAGGAAAACAGGUGGUGCAUGGUUGUCGUCAGCUCGUGUCGUGAGAUGUUAGGUUAAGUCCUAAAACGAGCGCAACCCUUGUCGUUAAUUGCCAGCAUGUAAUGAUGGGGACUUUAACGAGACUGCCAAUGAAAAAUUGGAGGAAGGUGGGGAUUACGUCAAAUCAUCAUGCCCCUUAUGAUCUGGGCUACAAACGUGAUACAAUGGUUGAUACAAAGAGUAGCUGAAACGCGAGUUCUUAGCCAAUCUCACAAAAUCAAUCUCA
rnacentral:rRNA from 1 species